UCGUGGCCUAAUGGACAAGGCGUCUCCCUCCUAAGGAGAAGAUUGCGGGUUCGAGUCCCGCCG
rnacentral:tRNA from 1 species